GUAGAUUUUAUUUUCUUGCUAUUUUUCCCUAAAACGCGUUGUUUCCCAGCUUGGGCAUUUUAUCACAAUGUCUGAUUUAGUGAAUAUAUUUUUUAUACAUCUGAGGCAGCGGAAGCAGGGCCCUUAUAUGGGACCACCAAGGAAUGAAAACAAGGCUCAUUUCACAAGCUUGCCACCUGACCUUUAAAGUUUUUGUACAUUCUUACUCUUAAACAAACACAUUUUUUUUUAAACUGGGGCUGGUGGGACUGCACCCAAAGACUCACCAUAACCACUGCAAUAAACUGCUAUUGUCAAUAGAGUAUCCCUUUAAGCAAACAUUGUUAUUAUAAUUAUUGUUGGAAUUUAUAUAACGCCAACAUAUUCCGCAGCGUUUUACAAUAUUAUGAAAGGGGGAAGUUUAACAAUAAAUGAGACCAUUACAAUAUGUUACAGGAACAAUAAAUAGAGGUCAAUAAACAUGACUUGUUUACGUUUCCUAUAUCCAAAAUUCAAUGUGAAUGUUCUGACAGCAUCUUUAAACACGAAAAUAACCUCUGUAUACAAUGUGUUGCUUUAUCCGUUGAUGAUGGCAAUGUGUUUUUUUUUCUCAUGGUCCCCCCCAAUAAAAAUGGGUGACGUAGCGCAUCCAUCGUACCAGACUUGGGAUUUCUUUUUUUG